AUUCCAGCUCCAAUAGCGUAUAUUAAAGUUGUUGCAGUUAAAAAGCUCGUAGUUGGAUUUCUGGCCUGACGAAACUGACCCGCCGCGGUUACGUGUGUGAGUGUCGGGCUUCGUCUGCCAUCCUUCCAGAAAACGUUUCUACCCUUCACUGGGCUGGAUUCGCGAUCUGGAACUUUUACUUUGAAGAAAUUAGAGUGUUCAAAGCAGGCUUGCGCUGUGAAUACAUUAGCAUGGAAUAAUAAUUUAGGACUCAGGUCUUAUUUUGUUGGUUCUUAAGAUCUAAGUAAUGAUUGAUAGGGAUAGUUGGGGGUGCUAGUAUUCAGCGGCCAGAGGUGAAAUUCUUGGAUUCGCUGAAGACUAACUUAUGCGAAAGCAUUCACCAAGGAUGUCUUCAUUA
rnacentral:rRNA from 1 species